rnacentral:rRNA from 1 species
GGGUUGUGAGGUUAAGCGACUAAGCGUACACGGUGGAUGCCCUGGCAGUCAGAGGCGAUGAAGGACGUGCUAAUCUGCGAUAAGCGUCGGUAAGGUGAUAUGAACCGUUAUAACCGGCGAUUUCCGAAUGGGGAAACCCAGUGUGUUUCGACACACUAUCAUUAACUGAAUCCAUAGGUUAAUGAGGCGAACCGGGGGAACUGAAACAUCUAAGUACCCCGAGGAAAAGAAAUCAACCGAGAUUCCCCCAGUAGCGGCGAGCGAACGGGGAGGAGCCCAGAGCCUGAAUCAGUGUGUGUGUUAGUGGAAGCGUCUGGAAAGGCGCGCGAUACAGGGUGACAGCCCCGUACACAAAAAUGCACAUAUUGUGAGCUCGAUGAGUAGGGCGGGACACGUGGUAUCCUGUCUGAAUAUGGGGGGACCAUCCUCCAAGGCUAAAUACUCCUGACUGACCGAUAGUGAACCAGUACCGUGAGGGAAAGGCGAAAAGAACCCCGGCGAGGGGAGUGAAAAAGAACCUGAAACCGUGUACGUACAAGCAGUGGGAGCCUCUUUUAUGGGGUGACUGCGUACCUUUUGUAUAAUGGGUCAGCGACUUAUAUUCUGUAGCAAGGUUAACCGAAUAGGGGAGCCGAAGGGAAACCGAGUCUUAACUGGGCGUUAAGUUGCAGGGUAUAGACCCGAAACCCGGUGAUCUAGCCAUGGGCAGGUUGAAGGUUGGGUAACACUAACUGGAGGACCGAACCGACUAAUGUUGAAAAAUUAGCGGAUGACUUGUGGCUGGGGGUGAAAGGCCAAUCAAACCGGGAGAUAGCUGGUUCUCCCCGAAAGCUAUUUAGGUAGCGCCUCGUGAAUUCAUCUCCGGGGGUAGAGCACUGUUUCGGCAAGGGGGUCAUCCCGACUUACCAACCCGAUGCAAACUGCGAAUACCGGAGAAUGUUAUCACGGGAGACACACGGCGGGUGCUAACGUCCGUCGUGAAGAGGGAAACAACCCAGACCGCCAGCUAAGGUCCCAAAGUCAUGGUUAAGUGGGAAACGAUGUGGGAAGGCCCAGACAGCCAGGAUGUUGGCUUAGAAGCAGCCAUCAUUUAAAGAAAGCGUAAUAGCUCACUGGUCGAGUCGGCCUGCGCGGAAGAUGUAACGGGGCUAAACCAUGCACCGAAGCUGCGGCAGCGACACUAUGUGUUGUUGGGUAGGGGAGCGUUCUGUAAGCCUGUGAAGGUGUGCUGUGAGGCAUGCUGGAGGUAUCAGAAGUGCGAAUGCUGACAUAAGUAACGAUAAAGCGGGUGAAAAGCCCGCUCGCCGGAAGACCAAGGGUUCCUGUCCAACGUUAAUCGGGGCAGGGUGAGUCGACCCCUAAGGCGAGGCCGAAAGGCGUAGUCGAUGGGAAACAGGUUAAUAUUCCUGUACUUGGUGUUACUGCGAAGGGGGGACGGAGAAGGCUAUGUUGGCCGGGCGACGGUUGUCCCGGUUUAAGCGUGUAGGCUGGUUUUCCAGGCAAAUCCGGAAAAUCAAGGCUGAGGCGUGAUGACGAGGCACUACGGUGCUGAAGCAACAAAUGCCCUGCUUCCAGGAAAAGCCUCUAAGCAUCAGGUAACAUCAAAUCGUACCCCAAACCGACACAGGUGGUCAGGUAGAGAAUACCAAGGCGCUUGAGAGAACUCGGGUGAAGGAACUAGGCAAAAUGGUGCCGUAACUUCGGGAGAAGGCACGCUGAUAUGUAGGUGAAGCGACUUGCUCGUGGAGCUGAAAUCAGUCGAAGAUACCAGCUGGCUGCAACUGUUUAUUAAAAACACAGCACUGUGCAAACACGAAAGUGGACGUAUACGGUGUGACGCCUGCCCGGUGCCGGAAGGUUAAUUGAUGGGGUCAGCGCAAGCGAAGCUCUUGAUCGAAGCCCCGGUAAACGGCGGCCGUAACUAUAACGGUCCUAAGGUAGCGAAAUUCCUUGUCGGGUAAGUUCCGACCUGCACGAAUGGCGUAAUGAUGGCCAGGCUGUCUCCACCCGAGACUCAGUGAAAUUGAACUCGCUGUGAAGAUGCAGUGUACCCGCGGCAAGACGGAAAGACCCCGUGAACCUUUACUAUAGCUUGACACUGAACAUUGAGCCUUGAUGUGUAGGAUAGGUGGGAGGCUUAGAAGUGUGGACGCCAGUCUGCAUGGAGCCGACCUUGAAAUACCACCCUUUAAUGUUUGAUGUUCUAACGUUGACCCGUGAUCCGGGUUGCGGACAGUGUCUGGUGGGUAGUUUGACUGGGGCGGUCUCCUCCUAAAGAGUAACGGAGGAGCACGAAGGUUGGCUAAUCCUGGUCGGACAUCAGGAGGUUAGUGCAAUGGCAUAAGCCAGCUUGACUGCGAGCGUGACGGCGCGAGCAGGUGCGAAAGCAGGUCAUAGUGAUCCGGUGGUUCUGAAUGGAAGGGCCAUCGCUCAACGGAUAAAAGGUACUCCGGGGAUAACAGGCUGAUACCGCCCAAGAGUUCAUAUCGACGGCGGUGUUUGGCACCUCGAUGUCGGCUCAUCACAUCCUGGGGCUGAAGUAGGUCCCAAGGGUAUGGCUGUUCGCCAUUUAAAGUGGUACGCGAGCUGGGUUUAGAACGUCGUGAGACAGUUCGGUCCCUAUCUGCCGUGGGCGCUGGAGAACUGAGGGGGGCUGCUCCUAGUACGAGAGGACCGGAGUGGACGCAUCACUGGUGUUCGGGUUGUCAUGCCAAUGGCACUGCCCGGUAGCUAAAUGCGGAAGAGAUAAGUGCUGAAAGCAUCUAAGCACGAAACUUGCCCCGAGAUGAGUUCUCCCUGACUCCUUGAGAGUCCUGAAGGAACGUUGAAGACGACGACGUUGAUAGGCCGGGUGUGUAAGCGCAGCGAUGCGUUGAGCUAACCGGUACUAAUGAACCGUGAGGCUUAACCUUACAACGCCGAAG